AUGCUUUGCUAAUUAUAUUUUGUGGAUUACACUUUUAUGGUGUGGUACUUUAGCAAGUGAAGCUAUAAUAAUGUUCCCCUCGCUAUCCUCUGCAUCUAAUUUUUGUGGUGUAUUUGGACGUUGGGGUACUACAUAA
rnacentral:snoRNA from 1 species